ACCUGGGUGGCUCAGUAGGUUAAGCAUCUAACUUCAGCUCAGGUCACGAUCUCACGGUUUGUGGGUUCGAGCCCUGCCUCAGGCU
rnacentral:tRNA from 1 species